CGGGGAGUGGCUCAGCUUGGUAGAGCGUGUGGUUUGGGACCACAAGGUCGGAGGUUCAAAUCCUCUCUCCCCGACCA
rnacentral:tRNA from 1 species